UUCGGUGUUCUGGAUGCUUCUGGGAAAAAUAAGAUGUUGGGUCUUCGUUUCGUCGAAUUCUGAGAAUAUUGCCCGAACAGCCUUUCUGGAACCAAAAACACCAGAAAACUGGAACUGGCACUUCGGCAUCUUGUUAAUAGGUUAGUUCCGGAAAACGCAUAAAAACAUUAUAAA